rnacentral:rRNA from 1 species
AAUCAACGCUGGCGGCGUGCCUCAGACAUGCAAGUCGAACGCGAAAGUUCCCUUCGGGGGAUAAGUAGAGUGGCGUCCGGGUGAGUAACACGUAGGUAAUCUACCUUUGGGUGGGGGAACAACAACCGGAAACGGUUGCUAAUACCGCAUAAUGCAGCGGCACCACAUGGUGACAGUUGUUAAAGCGGGGGAUCGCAAGACCUCGCGCCUAAAGAGGAGCCUGCGGCGGAUUAGCUAGUUGGAGGGUAACGGCCUACCAAGGCAACGAUCCGUAGCCGGCCUGAGAGGGCGGUCGGCCACACUGACACUGAAAUACGGGUCAGACUCCUACGGGAGGCAGCAGUCGGGAAUUUUGGGCAAUGGGCGAAAGCCUGACCCAGCAACGCCGCGUGAAGGAUGAAAUCCCUCGGGAUGUAAACUUCGCAAGAACAGGAAGAAUAAGUAGGGGACAAUACCCCCUAUGAUGACGGUACUG